rnacentral:lncRNA from 1 species
UGGUAUCAAAGAAAUAGAGUUAGUGGAUGUAGGGUCCCGCUAGCCACUCCUUAUAGUUUCAUUGAAGAGGAGAGGUUCUACUAUAUUCCAUUCUGCACUGUCUUCACUGAUAGUCUCUUGCUUGGGGUACGAGGCGAGGAAUUGGCUUCUUUCUCUUAGUUUAUUCUCUAGUCGUAUAACGGACUUGCUUUUGAACUCAGUGAGUGCGUCUACAUUGUACUUAAGAAUAGGGCAGAAGGUGCUGAAAGCCUACUGUCAGUAAGAAGGAGAGGCCUGUUCCAGCUAUUUAUUACCUAGGACAGGAAUCUUUCGAGGGCAAGCUACUCAAUUUCCAGCUCCCAAACACCCG